UACAGAGGAUGCAAGCGUUAAUCGGAAUUACUGGGCGUAAAGCGCGCGUAGGUGGUUUGUUAAGUUGGAUGUGAAAGCCCCGGGCUCAACCUGGGAACUGCAUUCAAAACUGACAAGCUGGAGUAUGGUAGAGGGUGGUGGAAGUUCCUGUGUAGCGGUGAAAUGCGUAGAUAUAGGAAGGAACACCAGUGGCGAAGGCGACCACCUGGACUGAUACUGACACUGAGGUGCGAAAGCGUGGGGAGCAAACAGG
rnacentral:rRNA from 1 species